rnacentral:rRNA from 1 species
GAUGAACGCUGGCGGCGUGCUUAACACAUGCAAGUCGAACGAAGCAUUUAGAACAGAUUACUUCGGUUUGAAGUUCUUUAUGACUGAGUGGCGGACGGGUGAGUAACGCGUGGGUAACCUGCCUUGUACUGGGGGAUAGCAGCUGGAAACGGCUGGUAAUACCGCAUAAGCGCACAAUGUUGCAUGACAUGGUGUGAAAAACUCCGGUGGUAUAAGAUGGACCCGCGUCUGAUUAGCUAGUUGGUGAGAUAACAGCCCACCAAGGCGACGAUCAGUAGCCGACCUGAGAGGGUGACCGGCCACAUUGGGACUGAGACACGGCCCAGACUCCUACGGGAGGCAGCAGUGGGGAAUAUUGCACAAUGGAGGAAACUCUGAUGCAGCGACGCCGCGUGAGUGAAGAAGUAAUUCGUUAUGUAAAGCUCUAUCAGCAGGGAAGAUAGUGACGGUACCUGACUAAGAAGCGCCGGCUAAAUACG